ensembl:lncRNA SOX2-OT SOX2 overlapping transcript
AAGAAAAAAAAAGAAAAGAAAAAAAAGAGAACCACAGCUUUGGACAAAAGUCUAUAGCCAGUGCAUUUGAAAACUCCCCUUGCACCAGGGCUGACUGUAGCUGGGGGAAGACAUUUUACUCAUUUGCUCUUUCCUUUCAUACAGUCAGCUGGUCCCUCUUCUCAGGUGUAGAUCACCUAUUAUAAUUUUACCUAAUUUUGAUACUCUGAUAAGGAAAGUCCCAGGACUUAUCAGCUGGGAUAGGCCUCACUUACAAGACAGCUCUGUUCAGUAUUUGGAAGAAAGAAAGCCUGACAGGUUUCUUCGGAAAAGUGGCCAUCCAUGGAAUGAAUGAAAUGUUCUCUUUCUAUUCCACGCGGGUCCAAGCCUGUAGCCCCAAAUCGGAUAAUCUCUGCAGCUGAUAACAAGCAAAAGAGAAGCCAGGCAACAGCCAUAUUAAAGAAGAAAACAAUCAACUCUGAGAUCCAACUUAGAAAUAAUGUUUCAUUCAAGAUAAGGCUCGUGGCUUAGGAGAUUGUGACCUGGCUUGCAUCAUUCUAAGACUUCUAUCGUCUGUUUUCAAAACCCAAGGAGGACCUCCUUUUCUGUGUGAUAGUUCCUCAUGCUUUGCCAGCCACUGGGUCUUUAAGGAAGCUUGCCAAGAGUUCCCGGCUGGGAAGGACAGUUCGAGUUCAUCAUAGACAAUGAGCUGGCACCACAGUUUAAGUGACUCACCAACCUGGUUGCCCACUUCAAAAUGUCAAGAACCACACUAUCUAAUUGAAAGAACUGUGUUUUAGCAAAGUGUAAUUGGAUCGCCUGGCAAGAUCAUCUCAAACUAUGUCUCUGACCUUGCCUUUCAGUGGCUAUUUUGAGCACAAGAGGAGAAAGGAAAUGAUUCCUGAAUUAUAUCUUGUUUUUAAAAAUUAAGAUUAAUUAAUACUUGGUUUUAUGUUCAUUCCAUUGUAGGAACUUAGUGAUUAUUACAAAACAGUCAAAAUAGGUCAUAGCAAAAUGAACGUUUAAGAUUAGGUUAAAACAUUCCUCUGAAAUUUUAGUAUUCACUUUUGAAGUGUCAAUUACUAUAUUUCUGUAAUUUCUCAUUUUUUUCUUGGCUUAGAGUCAAGAUGAAAAAUGAUAUUUGAAUCAAAGACAUUGUUUUGUUAUAUAGCCACUCCUUUCUAAAAUGCAAAUCCACCCUCCCCUCACCAAUGCUUUAUUCUUUGUGCGCGCACACACACACACACACACACACACACACACACACACACACAGACAUACACAGAACCAGCACCCAAAUGGUAGAGGAGGUCCUUCCAAGACUUCUAGGACCUGGAUCAUGUAAGCAGUAGAUGAGAAAAUGAAGUAAGAGAUAUAGAGUAAUAACAAUAAAAGUCAAUGAUUUCAUUUUACAAAAAAGUCAUUGUGUAGUACUCAGAUAUUUUUAAGAGCAAGUAUUAUUAUGACUAAAGUAUAUUAUACUUCUAAAUUAUUAUGAUUCUCAUCUAAUUUCAAGCCACACAUAGGCGCCAUUUGAAAGCAUUUUGUGUUACAACCUAUCAACAAAAAUCAACUAAUAGUUUUAUAACGUGCAUAGGUUUACCCCAUGGGGAAUUAAAAUUUUUAUCUGCAAGUAUUUCUGUUGUUGUGAGACUUUAGGACAAGACAACAUUUGGUGUUAACAUAGAAGAAUAUUCUAUGGCUUUUUUAGCUUUAAAGUUCAUUACUCUAAAAUAAAGUACACGUGGUAUUUUUUUCUUCCUAGUGUUCUCUUAUUAUAUGUAGAGUAUUUUCGGUUGUUGUUUUUAACGUAUACAUUAUUUUUAUUAAGUCAUUUCAUAAAAGAUAAGAUAUAUACUAAUAGACCCUUGGUUUUCUCCUAAUUUAAUUAUUUCAAGUCAAGCAAAAUUGGGCAAUUUUCUUUCAGGAAAAAAAAAAUAUUGAGCAUGAUUUUGAGGUAAAACUGAUUAUUUACAGCAUCUUUUCUCUAAUAGGCUAACAUUUAUGAUGGAUCUUAUUUCAAAGUUGAUUAUUCUCAAAGAAAAGUGGAGAUAUUAGAAUUUCCGAGUAAAUUGCAUUGUUUUAAAAAGUACUUUAAUGCAUUGUUCACAUUGUUGCCAGCUAUUGACCAAAAAAGAGAAGAAGAAAAAAGAAAUAAAAAAAGCAGUAUCUGCUCCAAACGUCAAGUUUUGCAGUUUGAAAGAC